UACGUAGGGGGCAAGCGUUGUCCGGAUUUACUGGGCGUAAAGAGCGUGUAGGCGGCCAAGCAGGUCCGUUGUGAAAACUGGAGGCUUAACCUCCAGACGUCGACGGAAACCGCGUGGCUAGAGUCCGGAAGAGGAGAGUGGAAUUCCGUGGUGUGAGCGGUGAAAUGCGCAGAUAUCAGGAAGAACACCAAUGGCGAAGGCAGCUCUCUGGGACGGUACUGACGCUGAGACGCGAAAGCGUGGGGAGCGAACAGG
rnacentral:rRNA from 1 species